UACGUAGGGGGCAAGCGUUGUCCGGAUUUAUUGGGCGUAAAGAGCGUGUAGGCGGCCAGGUAGGUCUGCUGUGAAAACUCGAGGCUCAACCUCGAGACGUCGGCGGAAACCAUCUGGCUAGAGUCCGGAAGAGGAGAGUGGAAUUCCUGGUGUAGCGGUGAAAUGCGCAGAUAUCAGGAAGAACACCCGUGGCGAAGGCGGCUCACUGGCCCGGUACUGACGCUGAGGUGCGAAAGCGUGGGGAGCAAACAGG
rnacentral:rRNA from 1 species